GUGGGGAAUUUUGGACAAUGGGCGCAAGCCUGAUCCAGCAAUGCCGCGUGUGUGAAGAAGGCCUUCGGGUUGUAAAGCACUUUUGUCCGGAAAGAAAUCUCCUGGGUUAAUACCUCGGGGGGAUGACGGUACCGGAAGAAUAAGCACCGGCUAACUACGUGCCAGCAGCCGCGGUAAUACGUAGGGUGCGAGCGUUAAUCGGAAUUACUGGGCGUAAAGCGUGCGCAGGCGGCUAUGCAAGACAGAUGUGAAAUCCCCGGGCUCAACCUGGGAACUGCAUUUGUGACUGCAUGGCUAGAGUGCGUCAGAGGGAGGUGGAAUUCCGCGUGUAGCAGUGAAAUGCGUAGAGAUGCGGAGGAACACCGAUGGCGAAGGCAGCCUCCUGGGAUGACACUGACGCUCAUGCACGAAAGCGUGGGGAGCAAACAGGAUUAGAAACCCCUGUAGUCC
rnacentral:rRNA from 1 species